UGUUGGACUUCUGUGUCCCAUGCUUUCCCUGGUUUUGUUGCUCCUUGCACUGGAAUUGGUCAGUGUUCAUGCUGUUCAUGGUAAAAGCACUCAGGAACAACAGCAGUAUCUGAGUCAGACACAGGGUGGCACUCUUCAUUAAGUAAUCUGGCAGCUGUGUGGGAAGAUGUCUCCUGUGAACUCCUGUGACUCCAGGAAAAUGAAUUCUUUUCCUUUUUCAUCUGGCCACAGAGAGGGGUGUAGAACCACCUAGAGAAAAACCUCUGGACGUAUGUCAGAGAGUUUCUAGAUUGGAAGACCCACCCUAAAUAGAUAGUGCCAUUUCAGGGGUUGUCCUUCCCCAACUGAAUAAAAAAGAAAGAGCAAGCUGAGUAUCAGCAUUCGUCCUCUCUAGUCCCGACUGGAGAGAAAGUGUGACCAGCUGCCUCGGGCUCCUAAUGCCAGGAUUUCCCUACCAUAAUGGACCGGUACCCUCAAACUGUGAGCCAGAGUAAACCCUCACUUCCUUAAGUUGCUUCUGUCAAAACCAUGAGAAAAAUAACUGAACUGCAUGCCCACAAAUGCAACCACUGUGGCCUGGCCUGACCUGACCUGAAGUCGCUGUGAAUCGAGAGAGAAACCCUCUUCUGGUCUUAUAGGUGCACCACCUCCAAGCUUCCUCUCCAGAAAUGGGAACGGGAACAAGCUUCCAAAUUUGCAAACUGGAGCCCUACCUGUGCCUGCAGUGCCUUCCCUGCCCCACACACCACCCAGAUCUUUAGUGGAAUGUUUAAACAAGCACUGAUAACACGUUUCCCAACAGCCCAAAUAAAGUUUUACAAGGAG
ensembl:processed_transcript